AUGAACGCUGGCGGCGUGCCUAACACAUGCAAGUCGAACGAAGCAAUUAAGAUGAAGUUUUCGGAUGGAAUCUUGAUUGACUGAGUGGCGGACGGGUGAGUAACGCGUGGAUAACCUGCCUCACACUGGGGGAUAACAGUUAGAAAUGACUGCUAAUACCGCAUAAGCGCACAGUGCCGCAUGGCAGUGUGUGAAAAACUCCGGUGGUGUGAGAUGGAUCCGCGUCUGAUUAGCCAGUUGGCGGGGUAACGGCCCACCAAAGCGACGAUCAGUAGCCGACCUGAGAGGGUGACCGGCCACAUUGGGACUGAGACACGGCCCAAACUCCUACGGGAGGCAGCAGUGGGGAAUAUUGCACAAUGGGCGAAAGCCUGAUGCAGCGACGCCGCGUGAGUGAAGAAGUAUUUCGGUAUGUAAAGCUCUAUCAGCAGGGAAGAAAAUGACGGUACCUGACUAAGAAGCCCCGGCUAACUACGUGCCAGCAGCCGCGGUAAUACGUAGGGGGCAAGCGUUAUCCGGAUUUACUGGGUGUAAAGGGAGCGUAGACGGCGAAGCAAGUCUGAAGUGAAAACCCAGGGCUCAACCCUGGGACUGCUUUGGAAACUGUUUUGCUAGAGUGUCGGAGAGGUAAGUGGAAUUCCUAGUGUAGCGGUGAAAUGCGUAGAUAUUAGGAGGAACACCAGUGGCGAAGGCGGCUUACUGGACGAUA
rnacentral:rRNA from 1 species